rnacentral:rRNA from 1 species
UACGUAGGUGGCAAGCGUUGUCCGGAAUUAUUGGGCGUAAAGCGCGCGCAGGCGGCCUUUUAAGUCUGAUGUGAAAGCCCACGGCUCAACUGUGGAAGGUCAUUGGAAACUGAAAGGCUUGAGUACAGAAGAGGAAAGCGGAAUUCCACGUGUAGCGGUGAAAUGCGUAGAGAUGUGGAGGAACACCAGUGGCGAAGGCGGCUUUCUGGUCUGUAACUGACGCUGAGGCGCGAAAGCGUGGGGAGCAAACAGG